rnacentral:rRNA from 1 species
UACGUAGGGUGCAAGCGUUGUCCGGAAUUAUUGGGCGUAAAGAGCUCGUAGGCGGUCUGUCGCGUCGGCUGUGAAAACCCGAGGCUCAACCUCGGGCCUGCAGUCGAUACGGGCAAACUAGAGUACUGCAGGGGAGACUGGAAUUCCUGGUGUAGCGGUGGAAUGCGCAGAUAUCAGGAGGAACACCGGUGGCGAAGGCGCCACUCUGGGGCCGGUACUGACGCUGAGGAGCGAAAGCGUGGGGAGCGAACAGG